rfam:Cavia porcellus supercont2_5 genomic scaffold, whole genome shotgun sequence.
UGGGAUUUAGCUCAGUGGCAUAAGCACCUGCCUUGCAAGCAGGCAGUCAUUAGUUCAAUCCCUG